AGGAAAUGACAAUAAAUAUAAGACAGUGUAAGUAGAGAACCUAAACAAUGCUCAGGACCACAUAGGUCCUGAUAAAUGGACGCUCUUGCUCUAGCUUGGACUGAAGUUAUUUUUACUAUGUGUUCUCAAAUGAUAAAGCUGCCCCAGCAUCAUAGAUUGUUCCCAAGUUACAGAGCCUCGUUCCUUGGAAAGCAAGUUGAACACCCAUCUGUCUGACCUGGUGCAGAAUGCAACCACGGAGCAGUUUCACCCGUGGGUAUUUCCUUCCAUCAGCAGUGGCUGAGAGUACAAGCUGGUCUGCCUGCUGCCCAACCCACAUUUCAGCCACUUCAGUUGGCUGGUGCCUAGUGGGAUCUCGUUGGCUCUAAGCUGCAUUUCUUUGUGAUUAAUGAGGUGGACACUUUUUCAUAUAUUUAUUGGCUGUUUGUAGAACCUCUUUUGUGAAGUGGCUGUUCAGAUCUCUGGAGUGUAUUUCCAUGGGAUUGUCUGUCUUUUUUAUUGAUUUGUAGAACUUCUUUAUAUAUUCUGGACAUAAAUCCUUGGUGCCGUUUGAAUUGCAAAUAUCUUCUCCUAGUCUGUGGCUUGCUCUUUCAUUCCGCUAAUAGCAUCUUUUGAUGAAAGUUCUUAAUCAUAUGAGGGCAAGUUUACAAAUUUUCCCUUUAUAUUCAGGUCUUCUUUUUAAGAACUCAUCCCAAGGGCAUGAAGAUAUCCUCACAUUUUCUUUUAGGGUUUUUUUGUUUUCCUUUCACAUUUGUAUCUGUAACCCAUCUGGAAUUCAUUUUUGUGAAUGAUAUGAAAUAGGGUCAAAAUAAUUUUUAUUUCAGGGAAACAAUGGUGAAUAAACCACAGCGACUGACUUUAGAGACCUUGUUGUCUAUUGAGGGAAGUGGACAAUUGGGCAAUUACUUACAAUAUAGUAAGUUUUUCUAAAUAAUAUUGUAAUGAGAAAAAGAAAUGUUUGUCUUCAAACUGAAUUUUGAGAUUGCACACAUGGGCCUGAGGAAAACAACAUUUUUGGUCUGGCUGGUAACAAGCGGCAGGUUUCCUGGCUUAGGCGCUGUGGACUUUUUAGACAAAGGAGAGCAAUGUCAUUGAGCACAGCCAUUGAUGCAGCAGUCCUGCCUUUUCCCAUGGGUGAAUCCAGGCGUGGAUGUACUGGGACAGUAGAAGGAGGUGUUUCAGUAGAGAUGGUGCCGGAGCAACAUGGCAUUGCAAAUGCCUCCUAUUUCCUUAACAAAGCAAGAAUCGUCAUGUCUUCCACAGGGUUAUCAAAUCCAUCCAGGC